GACGAACGCUGGCGGCGUGCUUAACACAUGCAAGUGGAGCGACGAACCAGGGCUUGCCCUGGGGCAAAGCCGCGAACGGGUGAGUAACACGUGGGUAACCUGCCCCAAUGACCGGGACAACCCGAGGAAACUCGAGCUAAUACCGGAUGUGCUUGCACCCCUUGAGGGGUGUCAGGAAAGGAAGCUUCGGCCUCCGCAUUGGGAUGGGCCCGCGGCCCAUUAGCUUGUUGGUGGGGUAACGGCCUACCAAGGCUUCGAUGGGUAGCUGGUCUGAGAGGACGAUCAGCCACACUGGGACUGAGACACGGCCCAGACUCCUACGGGAGGCAGCAGUGGGGAAUCUUGCGCAAUGCGCGAAAGCGUGACGCAGCAACGCCGCGUGCGGGAAGACGGCCUUCGGGUUGUAAACCGCUUUCAGUUGGGACGAAGCUUCGACCGUUAAUAGCGGUUUGGAGUGACGGUACCUUCACAAGAAGCCCCGGCUAACUACGUGCCAGCCGCCGCCGUAAAAC
rnacentral:rRNA from 1 species